rnacentral:rRNA from 1 species
GACGAACCGUGCGAACGUUAUUCGGAAUCACUGGGCUUAAAGGGCGCGUAGGCGGGCUCGCAGGUCAGGGGUGAAAGCCCACGGCUCAACCGUGGAAGUGCCUUUGAUACCGUGAGUCUCGAGGGAGGUAGGGGCGUGCGGAACUUCCGGUGGAGCGGUGAAAUGCGUAGAUAUCGGAAGGAACAUCGGUGGCGAAAGCGGCGCGCUGGACCUCUUCUGACGCUGAGGCGCGAAAGCCAGGGGAGCAAACGGG